UACGUAGGGGGCGAGCGUUGUCCGGAUUCAUUGGGCGUAAAGAGCUCGUAGGCGGCUUGGCAAGUCGGAUGUGAAAACUCCAGGCUCAACCUGGAGCCGCCAUUCGAUACUGCUAUGGCUAGAGUCCGGUAGGGGAGUGUGGAAUUCCCGGUGUAGCGGUGAAAUGCGUAGAGAUCCGGAAGAACACCGGUGGCGAAGGCGGUGAGCUGGGCAGUAGCUGGACACUGAGGCGCGACAGCGUGGGGAGCAACAGG
rnacentral:rRNA from 1 species